GUCGAUGUUUUUACAGAAGCAAGGGUUGUACCUGAUUGAUUGAUUGAUUUUAUAUUUUUACGUUUUGGUUUUUUUUGUUUGCUGUUUUUCUGGAAAAACCAGCAUUGGGAGCUCUUAGUCUGCCAUCACCUGACUUCAGCUGGAACAUCUGGGAGACUGUUGCUUUAAUGUCCUUGUCUAGCAGGUUUGCAUUCUGCUCAUUCUCAUAGACAUUUCUAUUGAUUGAUUUUCCCCCCUUUCAAUGGUCAUACUUUCCUGAUUCUUUGUAGGCUUGUAAUUUUUUUUUGAAAACUGGACAUUUGAAUCUUAUGUGAUAACCCUGGAAAUCAGACUCUCCCCUUCCCCAGAGUUUGCAGAGCUUUUUUGGUUGUUCUUUUUUGCCCUUGUUUUUUGGUCACUCUCUUGUGUGGAGUGUCUCUGUGCCAGGAAUCCACAUAAGGUGUCAACUUAAGAAUCUCUCAGAUCAUUUAUGAGCCUGCACCUUUCCCAGGCCAUGGGUCACUUCCUGAAUGUCCCUGUAUUUGCAGUUCCUUCUCCGUGUUCUAGUCCUUACACGCUUGCCUCCCAAAAUGGGAAAAAAAGGGAAAAUGAAGGGAGGCAAGGCCCCAGGCGCUUUAAACACCCUUGAAGUUGCUUCAAUCAGAGUAGAAAAGAUUUAUGCUGUUGGCGGUGGGCUUGCAAACAUGGUUGCCAGCAUCUUCACUGCAUCCCCAUGACCAAAGCAGCAAGCAGCAAUCAGAUACUUAUUCCUGAUGUUUGGAACAUAGCAUCCUAAUUGCUCACCUUAGUUUCCAGAAGCUGUGUUCAAACUGCUGUAGGGACUCCUGCUGUCUGCCUGCAACAGGCCCGGGUGCUGGGAGAUUACCAUCUAAUUGCUUGCCUAAUCUCUGGUGCUGGGCUGAAAAUGACUGAAAUGAACUACAGUUUACCCUCCAAGCCUUCCUGCUGCAAGGUGCAAGACUUCCAUAGACUCCAGCUCUCCACAAUAGUUACGUGAGACCGAUCCCCCCCGUGCACCUGCUGUCCAGGAGGAGACGAGGACCACAGAUGCUGCCGGCUCCUCCAUCUGCCCCGACAGAGCUUCUUCACAGUCAGCCAGUGCAACUUAGAGCUGCUACUGGGUUUAGCACACUCUUUCAUUGUGGGGGUCUCAUUACAGCUUUACUGAGAUUGUAUUCACCUACCACUCACUGAGUGCUCGUUAGCAGUCAUCCCCCGCUUCUCCCACCGCCUCUCCCCCAGGCCUAGGCAACCACUAAUCUACUUUCCACCUCUAUAGAUUUGCCUUUUAUGGACAUUUCUUAAAAUUGGAAUCAUACAACACACGGUCCUUUGUGAUGGGCUCUUUCAUAUAGCGUGUUGUCAGGUGCAUACAUGCUGUCGUUAGGGUGUUAAUUUGCAUUUCCCUCGGCAAAGGGGAGAAAGCACAUUGCCAUAUUCAUGUUUAUAAUUUAGAUUGCUUCUUUCUAGCUUUCCCAUUUUUCCCCUUUCCCAGUGCUCACCGUGCUGUGUGCCCUGGGAGACCAUCCUCCAUCGACCCCUUAUGGACUGGACUCUCGUAUCUCCAAAUCCUCCCAUGCCUUCUGGCUGCCACUUAAGUUUGGCAAAUGGGAAGCUUUAGGCCAUUUAUUCAUAGGGUCCACAGUGAACAUGGGGCUCAAACUCACAAUCCUGGAAUCAAGAAUCACAUACUCUACCAUCUGAGCCAGCCAGGAGCCCCCAACGCCUGGAUUUCUGACUAAAAAACAAGAUAGAGACAGCCAGCGAGAGAGGGAACACAAGCAGGGGGAGUGGGAGAGGAAGAAGC